UACAGAGGUCCCAAGCGUUGUUCGGAUUUACUGGGCGUAAAGGGUGCGUAGGUGGUAAGGUAAGUCUGAUGUGAAAUCUCCGAGCUUAACUCGGAAAUGGCAUUGGAAACUGCCUUGCUAGAGUAUUGGAGGGGGGACUGGAAUACUUGGUGUAGCAGUGAAAUGCGUAGAUAUCAAGUGGAACAUCAGUGGCGAAGGCGAGUCCCUGGACAAUUACUGACACUGAGGCACGAAAGCUAGGGGAGCAAACGGG
rnacentral:rRNA from 1 species